rnacentral:rRNA from 1 species
UACGUAGGGUGCGAGCGUUGUCCGGAAUUACUGGGCGUAAAGAGCUCGUAGGUGGUUUGUCGCGUUGUCCGUGAAAACUCACAGCUUAACUGUGGGCGUGCGGGCGAUACGGGCAGACUGGAGUACUGCAGGGGAGACUGGAAUUCCUGGUGUAGCGGUGAAAUGCGCAGAUAUCAGGAGGAACACCAGUGGCGAAGGCGGUUCUCUGGGCAUUACCUGACGCUGAGGAGCGAAAGUGUGGGGAGCGAACAGG